UGCUUUGUUUCAUUACCUUCUUGAGUUGUGGCUCAGACACUACAACAGAGCUCCGUCAUCUCUUUCUAAAAGCUGGGAAAUGGUUAUUGUCAACGCCAGCCCCAUUUUGGAGGCACCUGGCUGCAGGCGACCACAGCUAGCUGGGUGCGGUGGCUCAGGACUGUAAUUCCAGCUACAUGAGAGGAUUGCCUGAGGCCAGGAGUUUGAGACUAGCCUGAACAACAUAAUAGACUGGGAGCUCCAUGAGGUCUGAGACAACCUGAAGAUGCCCAGCUCAGCAGAGACUGGCUACGGCUGUCACUCAGUAACUAUUUGUUGAAUUAGACAUAAUAGAAGAGCUGACAAAUUUUAAACAAGUCACCGUCAGUCCAGUGGAUUCCUCAAAGCAAACCUGGAAAUCUCAGCAUGGGUUGGAUUUAAGGCAGUACAUUUUCAGCUCCUCAAAAUUUGAACAGUUUCUCAAGAGAACAACUUGAAACAGAAAGGCAAGGAUGUAGAUGUGGUUGUAGAAGAUGAUGUCUAAGGCCACUAAACUGUCCACUGUGAAGACAAAUCUUGCAUGUUUAGCAGGCGGUGGCUCCCCUUCCCUGUGGGGAGUCCCACUGCUUCCCUGGCCUGGGUGUUCUCUGCCGGUAGAUGUUAUUGACAAAAUAAGCAAAGUCCUCUGAUUCUGAGAAUUAUAGUUUAUGAUAGCUCUAGAUUGCCUCUGCCAUGCUAUUUAAAGUCCUGCUUUAUUGUCUGACAUGAGUUUGGCAUCUAUGAGGACUUGUCCAGUGCAAAGUACAAUCCCCACUGAAAGAUAUCACCAGCACAUCUUGUCACUGCGAGCUGGGCAGUACAAUGAGGUUGGCAGGAUCCUGUUUAGGUGGGGGAUAGCCACCUGGGCAUCAAGAAUCUUCUACCUUGAUUCCACAUUGAUUCCCCAAAGUGGGCUUCAGACAGCUCUGCACUUACGUCUUCUGAUUAAAGCAGCAGACGGGGUCCCAGCUGGAGAAAAGUUCUGGGAGCAGGAGAGGUGUUGGUGGCUUUAAAACCGGGGGUGAAGAUUGAAUUAGGAGGUUAGGCAGGAGUAGGAUCAAAGGCUUAGAAAAUGCUUGUUUCUUUCUAUUAUUCUUAUGAGAGCUGAUAAGGGGCUUUCAGUUUUGGGGGACAGCCUUGGAAGAGAAUGAGGGAAUUUAAUCAACUAGUGGGACCUUUCCAACUUACAUUUCCCAGUGUUUGCUGGAUGAUACGUUUGCCUAAUAAGUUAAAGCUUCCAAAAAUAGAAAGGAAAGCUUGGUGACACUAAGCUCUGGCAUGCUGUCAUCUUCUGGCUAGGGGUCUUGUGCUUCUGUUUUUCUAUUUCUGACCAAGGACAUAAAAUGUGUUGUGACCUCUCAGAUAAUGCUAUGGUAUCAUGUCCAAGCAGUAACUAACCAGAGUGGAGUUUUUACAGGUAAAAAAGUAUUGAAUAGCUCAGCAACAGGGAGGAUUUCAUGAUAAAUUGCUUUUUCAGAAAAUGACAAGGGGACAGACACUUGCGUUUCUUCCAUUGAGAGCCUUAAGGAAGUUAAGCGAAGCUCUGCUCACCCCUUCAAGUAACGAUGACCCAUCCGAUUGUGGUCAUAACCAGUAGCAUCUGAGCCACCCCUAACCUCUCUGGGCCCCAGAUUCCUUGUUAAGUUAAAUGAGGUGACUCCCCAGUUUACCAUUCUAGGGGUUCCUGAGGAGUUAAAAAUGAAGGAGAAAAUGCAACAUGUACCAAGUGAGCAAGGGCUCAAGGCUUAUCUCCGGCACGAAAGUGACCGCUGUCCAUUAGAGAUGUGCUUGCCCUAGAUUUCCUUUAGGAAAUGCAAACAUUGAACUCUGACCUUCAGGACCCAAGCCCCGGCUUGCAUCUAUUCUAUACACUUUCUAUUAUUUGUUAGGGCUCACAAGGAACAGUUAUUUUUUUUUUUAUUUUUAACUUUUUUUUAGAGAUGGAGUCUCACUCUGUCUCCCAGGCUGGAGUGCAGCGGUGCCAUCUCAGCUCACUGCAACCUCCACCUCCCAGGUUCAAGCAAUUCUCCUGUCUCAGCCUCCUGAGUAGCUAGGACUACAGGUGUGUGCCAUCAUGCCUGGCUAAUUUUUAGUAUUUUUAGUAGAGGCAGGGUUUCACCAUAUUGGCCAGGCUGGUCUCGAACUCCUG